AACCCUAAAAGCUAAAUGGUUAGUUGUUAA
rnacentral:tRNA from 1 species